GUACAAAAAGAAAAAAUGUCCGAAAAUGUGUUAUCUAUUUUUAGUUUAAUUUCCAAGUUAAAAGUUUUAAUAAAUAAAUAUAGAGUAAGUACAUAUUUUAAUCUUGCUAUUUUAAUUUAGUAGUAGUAUAUUUUAUAUUCUCACUUAUUAAUUAUAUAUCAUUUCACCACUCAAUUUUAAUACUGCAUCUACACACGCAUAUCACAUGCACCAUUUUAUGUAUUUUUUUCUUUAAACAACAACAAAACAAUAAAAAAAAAAUGCCUUUUUACAUUAAUAAAAAUAAAAAAGAAAAAAAGAAAACCAAUCUGCAUCCACUUUUUAACACUCAUUACCCAAAGCCUUUUUCAUGUACCUAUGCAUAAUAUAUAUAAAUCCUAUGCCCUAAACUUAACGACACCCUACACCAUAACGCUAGCCGCAAUAGACCUAAUAAUCCAUACACCAAUGCAACACUAUGUGAAACCAUAACAACUUCGUCACCUCCAUUGAAGCUCACCAUCUCCAACCAAAGAAAACAGAGCACCUGAGACCAUGUAAAUCGUCCACCUACUCUCUGUUAUUCCUCCACAAAAAUUGAGUCCACAGUUUCACCAUUAUUUUUACUGUCAAGUGUUUUGAAAGUCGUGGUGGGUAUAUCUCGAGUGUUCUGGUAGGCGUUUUCCGUUUUGGUUUGAGGCCCGUUCAAAGUUUGCGGCUAUUUUCUGUUUUGCUUGGCUUUCUGAACAGUUGCCAACUUCUCAGUAUUCAUCUGCUGGUCAAGAGGUUCUUGACAAUCAAAGUUCUAAGAAAUUUUCUUCGUAAAGUGUAACAGCCCAGGCCACCGCUGGUAGAAUUGUUCGCUUUAGAGCCUUCGCCCCUCACGGUUUUAAAACACGUCUACAAGGAAAAGGUAUCCAAGCACUUAUAAAACACUCUUCGUUCUCCUCCCCAACUGAUGUGGGAUUCGCCUAAGGCAAGCCUUACACUCACCCCCCCUUGGGACUCAGCCUCCUCGCUGAGGUUUGCCCCACCACUGGGUUUGCCCUACCACCGGCCCGACACCGGCUCUGAUACUAACUGUAACAGCCCAGGCCACCGCUUGUAGAAAUUGUCUGCUUUGGAGCCUUCACCCCUCACGGUUUUAAAACGCGUCUACAAGGGAGAGGUAUCCAAGCAUUUAUAAAGCACUCUUCGUUCUCCUCCCCAACCGAUGUGAGAUUCGCCUAAACCGAUGUGGGAUUCGCCUAAGGCAAGCCUUACACUACUUUAACAGCCCAGGCCACCGCUUGUAGAAAUUGUCCGCUUUGGAGCCUUCGCCCCUGACGCGUUUUAAAACCGUGAGGGGCGAAGGCUCCAAAGCAGACAAUUUCUACAAGCGGUGGCCUAGGCUGUUACAUGCAGUGAUCAGUGAAUCCUAUCAAGUUAUCCAUUAAGGUCAUUUAAUUCUGACAAACUUAUUGUUGGAACAGAUAAAGUAGACAAUAAUUGUGGAUGUUUCGCUGGACGAUCUUCGAUUUGCAUAUUGCGAAGCAAUUCAAGCCGACAAAACUAAUCACCAUGAAAGCCAACCAAAGGUGGUCAACAUACGGCACGUGAAUAAGCUCUGUUAAAGGUGUUUUCCAGAGAAUAAAUCUUACAUACUGCUUUUAAUUCCGGCUUUGUCUUGGUGAUCUUGUAUAAUUAUGAUAUGUGUCCCUUCCUCGAGAGAAAUGCAUAUAUAUCUUCGCGUGGACAUAUGGGUAUCAUCUUGUAUCCUAUUGCCAAAAAAAGAACUCCCUGGUCCAACUCAGUAGCAAUAUAGCAGGUGAGGUCCACCUCUUCCCUAUCUUCAUAUAUGUGUGUAUUUUAUCACUUAACUGUGCUAAAUAACAUAUGUUUUAGUCUAACGUUUAAUAGAAAUACUUAUUCAUAUUUUCUCUUUCAUCACAAUGGUACAUUGUAAAGUUCCAACACUACCAAAAGUGAUGACAAUGCAUCUGAAAAAAAGGGUGAUCACUUGCAUCAAGUAGUCCGGCAUUUGCUUUUUUAGGACGACUCAUAUUGAUAAAUAAUUAAUUAGCUUAUAGUUAUGGUUUUAACUGCACUGCAACAUAAAUCAUCACCUCAGUGGCUUCUUGGAAAGAUUAGGGAACCUUGCCCAAAGAUCGAGCUAAUUAAAGUAAGACAACAUAUUACAGUUUUACUAGGAGGAUGAUAUUAGUUGUCAUGAUUAUUGGUAAGUACUAUUUGGCUACAAAUCUUUCGCAAAACUUAAGCACCAAGGAGUCCAUGCCAUUCAAAAAAGGAAGAUGCAACGGAAAUAACUGCAAAUUGACUUCAUACUGGAACAAUCACAGUCAGACUUUUUCAUCAUAUAGUAGUUGUUGAUAGCUUUACCUCUUUUUUUGUAUAAGGUAGUUGCUACCUAUUUAAAUCUUCUUUCUCUUUGCCACAUUCUUUCUCCAUACUUCCCUAAUUAUUUUUGCUCUUUAAUUGUAGAAUAGAUACUAGAGCUACCAUUUUAAAGCUACUGGUAUAGAAAAGAAGAGUUGUUUAAUUUGAAAGGACCUGGAACUAGAAAGCUCGAGGAAAUGGGAAAGGUUGUAUGACUAUGCUUAUUACCAUGAUCUUGGAGAUACAAAGCUUCACUUUAUGUCCGACCAGUUCUUGGAGAAUCUGCAAAAUAUUCUUAUUCGCGAAAGGGAAAGAACUAAAAGACCACAUUCAUACAAAGCUCCUAAUGGUGAAAGCUGACCGCCAGAAAUAGUUUGCAAUUUAAGUCCAGAGGAUGAUAAUAUUUUGGCCUUAAAAGUUCUCUUAUGUCAUUAGUAACACGCAAAAAGACAUUGCACAACUCUUUGGCGCUUAGCUUGCCUAAGGAAACCUCACUCUAUUAAUUUCACAAAUGUACUGAAGUCUGAAAUUAA